rnacentral:rRNA from 1 species
GACGAACGCUGGCGGCGUGCUUAACACAUGCAAGUCGAACGGACAGGCCCUGCUUUUGUUGUUUUCUUGUUUGCCGAACGCGUGAGUAUCACGUGAGUAUCCUCCCCUUUUAUUUGUGAUAACUUCUCGGAACUCCGGCUCUUACCCCAUAUAAUCUUCUGCUGCAUGUUGUUGGAUGGAGAGUUUCGGCGGUUGUGGAUCUUCUCGCGGCUUAUCAGCUUGUUGGUGGGGUAGUUGCUUACCGAGGCUUUGACGGGUAGCCUGCCUGAGAGGGUUACCGGCAACAUGGGGACUGAGAUACGGACCAGAAGCCUAAGGGAGGCAGCAGUGGGGAAUAUUGCACAAUGGGCGGAAGACUGAGGCAGAAACGCCGCGUGCGGGAUGACGGCUUUCGGGUGGUAAACAGAUGUCGCCGGUGACGAAGAGUGAGUGACGGUAAUGGGUAAAGAAGCACCGGCUAACUACGUG